CGGCCGUUCCGCUCAGCGACCGACGUGAGCGUUACUGAUGGGUCCUGCCGAUGAGCUGAGAACUGCUGUUAAUCUGAAAGGAAAUUACCUACAGAGAUGUGUGGCUGGCAAGUGGAAGGAACCUGUUUGUAGGAAACUGCAGUUUCACUCCAGUAACCUGCAUAAAGAGAAGAACAAAAAGCCAGUUUACAAUCCUGACCUUGGAACUCAGAAAUAGGCAGACAGUGAUGACAACAUCCACUUUACGGUCAGAACGCUUCUGUGCCUCACCCAAGCUCCAUUUCUGCCGGGAGGCAGGAUCUGGUGGCCGCUGCCUCUUUCCACAUCGCUGCGUUUCUUCACGAGUGAUUUCCCCUUGUGGCACAUUGACAGAGCGUGAGCAGUAAGGGCCACACAGCAAAGCACGCAGCCGCCACAGGCAGUUUCAUCCACUUCUUCUGACUACAGAAGCUGCAAUUACAUUGUAUUCCCAUGUGGUCUGUUGAUACAGUUUGUUUCAAUACAUGUAAAUAGCAACCAGCUACCAUGGGUAUGAUGAUAUCAGGUACUAAAAAUACACUGAAAUAAAUGGCUUUUGGACUUAUUGCAGCAUACUAGAAAGGAAAUUCAUCUCCUGAAUUAAUUUCAUUCCUUACAAUCACUGAAAAAUUUAUAAGAAUAUAAAAAAAGAUCUUUAAACAAAGUCCUCAAAGUGUGAAAUCAAAGACAACGUGAACAACAGGGAACUCAUCUUCCCUAACCCAUGCUGUCCUAGCAGGCUAGAGAUCAGAAGCAGGAUUUACAAGCUCUAGGCCUGUUUUGUUUCUGUCUGCUGCAUGACUUUGUGCAGACCACUGAAAUACUCCAAGAGUCCUGCAAAGAAUCCAGUGAUGUUUUAACAGUUACUCUCCCUUUUUCCU